rnacentral:sRNA from 1 species
CAUGGUGCGAGGCGGGCUUAGCGAGAAAGCGUUGCCGCAGGCAACGACCCGAAGGGCGAAGCGCGAAGCGCUGAGUA